rnacentral:rRNA from 1 species
UACAGAGGGUGCAAGCGUUAAUCGGAAUUACUGGGCGUAAAGGGUGCGUAGGUGGUUUGUUAAGUCAGGCGUGAAAUCCUCGGGCUCAACCUGGGAACUGCGCUUGAUACUGACAGACUCGAGUGUGGUAGAGGAUAGUGGAAUUCCCGGUGUAGCGGUGAAAUGCGUAGAUAUCGGGAGGAACAUCAGUGGCGAAGGCGGCUAUCUGGACUAACACUGACACUGAGGCACGAAAGCGUGGGUAG